rnacentral:lncRNA from 1 species
UCCCUGCUUUUCAAGUGGCUGCAAACUUCUGUGCCUACCGCUUCCUCUCACUGGAUGUUUCCUUCCUGCCCGCCUCCCUGAAAAACUCCUAGUCCCUCUUCAGGAUGUAGAGCUGGAGCCUCCACUCCAGGAAGCCACUCAUGUUGUUGCCAACACAACCCCCUGCACACAUGCAGUAUUAGGCAUUGUUGGUCUGCCUGGCUGUCCCUGGGCUGUGCUGUCCUUGAGGGCAGUUUUUGUGUCUAAUUCCCAGAGAGCGCAAGAACACGAGCAUGCUCAUCCAGACGUUAGUUCUGGAAGACAGAAUGGAGGCAUCUACAGAGCAAGGACAUGUUUUCUACCUGAAUUAGCUUUUCUGACACCUUCGAACCUUCUCUAAGAAAUUGAUUUUUUAACAUACACAUAUACAGAGAUCUGAUUUACUAACUCGCUGCUGAUUCUGAGGUAGGACCCCAGCUUAGGAAGGCACUUUCAGGCAAGACUGUUCUGCGGUAAUUAGAAAAUGGAGAGUGGCCCUGUCAGAUGCAAAGGAGACUAUCACAUUUGGAAAAAAAUACUGCCUAUUGCACGAGAGGUAAGAGUCACUGAGACAUCUUGCACCAGACCCAGGUGAGUUCCAGAGAAGAGCAGAGCUGUCCAGCUUUAUCAGUGGCAGUGAGGGAUGGAAGGGGCCCUGAUGGUCAUCUUGGGACAGCUUCUUAGGGUCACCCAGGAGCCCAUAAGCGAGGUAUGCCACUCUGUGGUGGGACAGAAACCCCUGUAAAGAGCAAGCAGACACUCAGUCACCCAGGACCCUCCCCAACACUCCCAUUCCCUGCAAUCUGUCAGCACAUCCUAUCAGUCCCGUCCGCAGUAGACAUCUGAUCAUGCCUUCUCUCCCUUGCGACCGCCGUGACUCAAGUCCAGGUUCCUGCUACAUCCUUCCUAAAAGGCCUUCUCCUGCAAGCUUGCCUACCUCAAAUCGACUCUCCCCACAUAGCUGCAAAAGUGGUCGUCUGAGAAGAAGGGGGAAGAAGAGGAGAAGAAGGAAGAGAUGAAGAAGGAGAAGAUGAAGAAAAAGAAGAAGAGGAGGAAGAAGAAUAAGAAGGAGGAAGAGGGGGAAAAGAGGAGGAGAUGAUGUUAUGUCACCCCUUCACCCUUCCCCUGCACACACACAGACACACACACACACACACACACACACCACGAAAACCCUUCAAGAGCUUCCCAUUGUACUUAGAAUAAAAUCCAUGCUUGAGUAAAGCUCUGCAUGAUUUGGCCCCUGCAAACCUCUCCAGCCUCCUCUUGCUCGGGAGCCUCUGUGCUCACAACUCUCCUGCCACCCUGGUCUUCUUUCAGGUCCUUGAAUGCUGGCUAAACUCUGCUGCCCCAGGACCUUUGCACCUGGUCUUCUGCUGGCAGGAAUACUCUUUCCUGAGUCUUCCCCUGGCUGGCUCUUUCAUUUCCUUUAGGUCUCAGCUUGAGUGUAACCUCACAGGGCCAUUUCCUGCUCACCUGCUGAAAAGUCAGGCCUCGUCUGUUUUCUGUUUUAGCUCCUAAGUUUCCUUAUGACCAUUAUUUCAGC